rnacentral:rRNA from 1 species
UACGAAGGGGGCUAGCGUUGUUUGGAAUUACUGGGCGUAAAGGGUGCGUAGGCGGGUCUUUAAGUCAGGGGUGAAAUCCUGGAGCUCAACUCCAGAACUGCCUUUGAUACUGAAGAUCUUGAGUUCGGGAGAGGUGAGUGGAACUGCGAGUGUAGAGGUGAAAUUCGUAGAUAUUCGCAAGAACACCAGUGGCGAAGGCGGCUCACUGGCCCGAUACUGACGCUGAGGCACGAAAGCGUGGGGAGCAAACAGG